rnacentral:rRNA from 1 species
GCAUAUCAAUAAGCGGAGGAAAAGAAACCAACAGGGAUUGCUCUAGUAACGGCGAGUGAAGCAGCAAUAGCUCAAAUUUGAAAUCUGGCGUCUUCGACGUCCGAGUUGUAAUUUGUAGAGGAUGCUUCUGAGUAACCACCGACCUAAGUUCCUUGGAACAGGACGUCAUAGAGGGUGAGAAUCCCGUAUGCGGUCGGAAAGGUGCUCUAUACGUAGCUCCUUCGACGAGUCGAGUUGUUUGGGAAUGCAGCCCUAAAUGGGAGGUAAAUUUCUUCUAAAGCUAAAUAUUGGCCAGAGACCGAUAGCGCACAAGUAGAGUGAUCGAAAGAUGAAAAGCACUUUGGAAAGAGAGUUAAAAAGCACGUGAAAUUGUUAAAAGGGAAGGGAUUGCAACCAGACUUGCUCGCGGUGUUCCGCCGGUCUUCUGACCGGUCUACUCGCCGCGUUGCAGGCCAGCAUCGUCUGGUGCCGCUGGAUAAGACUUGAGGAAUGUAGCUCCCUCGGGAGUGUUAUAGCCUCUUGUGAUGCAGCGAGCGCCGGGCGAGGUCCGCGCUUCGGCUAGGAUGCUGGCGUAAUGGUCGUAAUCCGCCCGUCUUGAAACACGGACC